UACGUAGGGAGCAAGCGUUGUCCGGAAUCAUUGGGCGUAAAGCGCGCGUAGGUGGCCAUGUAAGUCCGCUGUGAAAGUCAAAGGCUCAACCUUUGAAAGCCGGUGGAUACUGCAUGGCUAGAGUACGGAAGAGGCGAGUGGAAUUCCUGGUGUAGCGGUGGAAUGCGCAGAUAUCAGGAGGAACACUAAUAGCGAAGGCAGCUCGCUGGGACGUUACUGACACUGAGGCGCGAAAGCGUGGGGAGCGAACAGG
rnacentral:rRNA from 1 species